rnacentral:rRNA from 1 species
CCUACGGGCGGCAGCAGUGGGGAAUAUUGCACAAUGGGGGAAACCCUGAUGCAGCAACGCCGCGUGAGUGAUGACGGCCUUCGGGUUGUAAAGCUCUGUUUUCAGGGACGAUAAUGACGGUACCUGAGGAGUAAGCCCCGGCUAACUACGUGCCAGCAGCCGCGGUAAUACGUAGGUGGCGAGCGUUGUCCGGAUUUACUGGGCGUAAAGGGCGCGUAGGCGGAUUUUUAAGUGAGAUGUGAAAUGCUCGGGCUCAAACUGAGAGCUGCAUUUGAAACUGUAAGUCUAGAGUGCAGGAGAGGAGGGUGGAAUUCCUAGUGUAGCGGUGAAAUGCGUAGAGAUAAGGAGGAACACCAGUGGCGAAGGCGAUCCGCUGGACUGUAACUGACGCUGAGGCUCGAAAGCGUGGGGAGCAAACAGGAUUAGAUACCCUUGUAGUC